GACUGAAUGGCAUUUUCGAAAUCUGACAUAAGUCUCUCAACGUUGAGGUACACGUCCGGAUAAAGAUCGUCAUACACAGUCAAAAUCUUGUCAAGGACAGCGUCGUAGAGCUGACGGGUCUUCUUGUUCAUCAAAACGAACGCAAAAGGAUAUACCUGUUUGUACCUGCCCAAAGCGGCUUACAUGAAGAGUAAAAAGCUGCUUGAAGAAUAAAGGAAGACUUUUAAAAGUUCCGUCUGCUUGCAGUUCAAUGGUCUGCGCAAUUUCAGGGAGCAGCUUUGGUGAAAUAAAGACAAACGCAUCCCCUCCGUCGGCCGUUUGAACUCGCCCUUGGUAGAAAACGCCACCUUCGAAUGCAUCUCUGGUGGAUGCUCCAUUAUGAGUUCUUCGGCCUCAUCAAUAGUUGUAGGGAUCCGUGGCUGCACACUACGCUUGGCCCGCUAGAUGCGACGCUGCAUAGCGUCGUUGUAGCUCACGAUAAGGCCUGGAAACUCCCGACGAAUCCGAUCGAAAAUUUCACGGGGUGGAUCGCGAGAGACCAAUGCCUCUUGGGCGCAGGCGUUUAUAAAGGCUAAUUGUUGUUGCAGAUGUGACUCCGGUGGAUGGUUGUGCGCAGAGCCAUCUUUACGGAACACACCGAUGUAGACGAUCUCGUCCAAUCUGUAAAUAGUUACAAGCCGUUUUUUACAUUAAUGUAUCCACGUUCGGAGUUGUAGUUAACACCGGUGCGACGAGUAGCUGGAACUUCAGCAACGACAGGAAAAUCUUCCUCGCCUUCUCCGUUCCACAUGGAACUUCCUAUUUCUUCAUCAGUGCGACCAGUCCAGCCAAUACGCAGCUAUCGUAUGAUCCAUCCACCACGAGUUCCGGUAACCCUUAUGAUCCAUGCGCCAUUGGGUCCGGAAACUUCUCAGUUGCUCCACCCGCAAUAACAAUCCAGUAACCACUCUUAUGAUCCAACCGCCGUGUAUGAUCAACCCACAAACGGCCCCUGUGGGAUUUUGUAUGAUCCUUCGACCGCUGGGUUCGCGGAACCCCUCAGUUGAUCUACCCGCCACUGUGUUCGGGUGCGAAUUCAUAUUGUUAUCCUGAUGUAGUAUAAUUUUAUUUAACUGCUUUCAAUUUCUUUGCUCAAAGGUUUUUUACUUUGCAUACCUUUUUUGAAAUUCAAUUUAAUUUCGCUUGCUUUUACGUUAUUACUCUGGAGUUACUCAUAAAUAAAUCAAAGGUUAAAUAGUUAAAUAAAUUAACUUU